rnacentral:rRNA from 1 species
CAGCCGCCGCGGUAAUACGGAAGGUCCAGGCGUUAUCCGGAUUUAUUGGGUUUAAAGGGAGUGUAGGCGGUCUGUUAAGCGUGUUGUGAAAUUUAGGUGCUCAACAUCUAACUUGCAGCGCGAACUGGCGGACUUGAGUGCACGCAACGUAUGCGGAAUUCAUGGUGUAGCGGUGAAAUGCUUAGAUAUCAUGACGAACUCCGAUUGCGAAGGCAGCGUACGGGAGUGUUACUGACGCUUAAGCUCGAAGGUGCGGGUAUCGAACAGGAUUAGAUACCCGAGUAGUCCCUGUCUCUUAUAA